rnacentral:lncRNA from 1 species
AUUCAAGGAGGCCUCCGAAGGCCACGUUUCUCGCCCCCCACCUAAUCCCCAACGUCAUUUCCCUUUGUUGCCAUCUGCCCCCCUCGAGGGAACAGCCUGAGCAGCUUUUUCCUUCAGGCCGCGUCGACUGACCCCGCCGGACAGCAUUGCUUCAUUGUGUCCCCGUCUGUUUCCGAUGGGGGGCGGGUGUUUUCUCGGAGGGCGGUGGCUUGGGAUUUGAAAAGAGGGGUGGUUCCGCCUUUCCCCGAAGGUGGGGGAUGACUGUUCACAUUACUUUUGUCUUCCUUUGGCUCCUCACCAGGUUGUGUAGGAAACAAAAGAGCAGCUCAGGUUCACUUCUCUUGGCAGUAAGUGCUGAAGCCCAACGCUCCACGUCACCAGAGAACCUUGUUGUUCUCACCCUCUUUUCAUUACUUAAGAAGAUAAAAGCCAAAAAUAACAAGAGGAGGCCUUUUUCUGCCUUUCAUUUUUUUGGGCACCUCCUAGUGUCUUGAGAAUCGGUUUCACUUGAGUGACAGUCCUAAGCCUCUUCAAGCAGCCAGACUUUCUCUAUCUAAUCUCACUUGGUUUGGUUUUUUUUCUUUGGUUGGGUUUUUUUUUUUUUUGGUCUUUUGAGGGCUGCACCCGCGGCAUUUGGAGGUUCCCAGGUUAGGGGCAGAAUCGGAGCUGUAGUCCCUGGCCUACACCGCAGCCACAGCCAUGCCAGAUCCAAGCCAUGUCUGCGACCCACACCACAGCUCACCAGCAACCCCACUGAGCGAGGCCAGGGAUCGAACCUGCAUCCUCAUGGGUGCUAGUCAGAUUUGUCUCCGCUGAGGCACAAGGGCCACACCCUUGAGGCUCGCUCCAGUCUGCCCCUUGCACCAGCCCCUUCUUCCUGCUCCUGUGUCCCCUCCAUGGUUUGUUCUUUGUUCACAACCACUGAUCAAGAUUAGCUCCCAGGAACCUUCUCUGAUGUGCCCUGUACCAGGAAACACAGUGGAUUUAUUGUAACUGUGAUAAUGAUUGCUUGCUUGCUUUGCACCAGGCACUGUUUUCAAUGCUGUUUUAUGUGUAUUGUAUUUAAUCAUUAAAUCCUUACAAUAGCCCCAUGAGGAAAUUAAGCAGAGAAGUCCAGUGAUUUGCUGGAGGAAACAAGGAAGUAGAGCAAGAAUUCAAAUAUUCUGGAUCCUAGCCACUCAGUUCUGCGGAAAAGUCUGGUACAAAAGUCCAAACUUCUGCUUACUUGUUUCAUCUUAUGAUCACAAGGUAGGUGAUGGGGAAAGGGAGAGUGCAGCACAUUAAAAGGCCACAGCUGAAAAAGUUUUGCAUUUAAAUUGACGAGCAGCCUUUGCACGUCCCUAUGCCAAGUGUUGGAAAAGCCAGCUCCACUCUUAGCCAUCCUGUGUGGGCAGGUUCCUGGUAAUGUUUGCUGUAAUUAUGAUUACAAGGCAAUUUCUACUUGUACAGACCUUUUUUUCUUUUUCAAAGCACUUUCACAUCUUGAGUUUUAUUUGGUCUUCCUAACAACCCUAUGAAAUAUUUAGGGCCAGUAGUGGUAUUAGACACAUUUGGGGAAGAAAUUUUUUUAUCCACUUUUUAAAUCUCUACCACUUAAGGUACUAUAGGGAAGAGACAAAGCUUUGGAAAAAUGAUCUCCCUCUGGGAGUUUUCAGUCUUCUUGGCGGUUAUGCGUAUAUGCAGGUAAAUACAAUGUAGAGUCAAGAUGAAGGCCAUGAGAAAGAGAGUUGCUGACUAGGAAGGAUCUGGAAUGAUUUCAUGCUGAUGUGGCAAUUGAAUUGCCAGGUAGGGGCGGGGCCAGGGGAAGUCCUGGGAGACAGCAGGAAGGCACCUUCGGGGGAGCUGUGUGUAGGAUGGGUAGAAGAGACAAGACCAGUGAGCCAUAUUCUUUGCCCACCUUCGUUUCUGUGUCCUUUCAAGUGCCUACCCGUAAUUCACAACUUGUUUUCCAUUUUCUUGUUUUUGCUGUUUCCUCCUCUAGAACAGAAGUCCCAUAAGAGCAGGCACUACUGUGCUCUCCUUGGUGUGCCAAGCACAGGGUAGGGUCUCAGUGAGUAUCUGCUAAAUGGAUGUUGCAAGAGUCCUGGUGAAGCAGCAGUGGAGAUUUAAGGGCAGGCAGGAGGUGCUACCUAAGGAGAAUCCAGGUAACGGUGAAAUAAAGCAAGUGGAGUAUACAUGAAGAAGGAACCAGAGAACCCUAAGAAAGCAACACCUCCUGAUCAUGCAGCCAGGAAUAUAGGAGGGACCCCGAGUUUGAGUUGGUGCCCCUCCUAUAUUCUGUCUUGACCACUUGGAGGGAAGAUACCAAUUGAAUUGUGCGCCCAAUAAAAGUGUAUGUCAGCUUUCCUAACUCCUCAUCUCCUGGUGAACGUGCUGCCCAUAGAGACCACUCUCUUAAUUUCUCCCUGCCAGAGAAUAAACUGGACAUUCUCCAGAGAAUUCUCUAGAGUAAUAUGUCCUCUGUACCUUUUUGUAAGUGAUCAUCUAAGCCUUGACUUGUUCUUGAAAAAUGGCUCUGUAGGAGUUCCUUCCUGACUCAGUGGGUUAAGGAUCUGGCAUUGUCACUACUGUGGCUCUGGUUACAGCUGUGAUGCAAGUUCGAUCCCAGGCACAAAGACUUCCACAUGCCCAGGGCGUGGCAAAACAAAACAAAACAAACAAACAAACAAAGCCCGGAAUGGUACUGUGACUGGACCUUGGAGCCACAGGAAACUGCUUUAAAAUUCCUCACCGCUGUUGUAUCCUGUCUGCUUAACCAAUGGCUCCUCCCUGUGAGAAUUGAGAGGAUGGUAGUUCCUGGAUAGAUUGUCUGUCUUUAUAAGGAGAAAAAUUUGGCAAUGUGAUUUCCUGUAUAUUUCCACUGGAGUCCAAGAUUCCAGCAGUGCUGGCCUAGACAGCAGUGGCAGCCACCUAGAACCCAGAUGUCAUUAGUAUUCCCAAGUAACUACGAGGGCAUCCUCCCAACUGCCUUUGCCAAGCCAAAAGGCAGAAUCACAGCUUUAUUACACCUUCUAGAGCAUGUGGUAAAGGCAGCUUUCCAUUUGGCUGCUUUGGUGCUGGGGUUGUUUACAUGUUUCAGUAAAUGAGUUAUGCUUAUUGAAAUCGGCUGGGUAGGAGUUCCAAAUAAAUGACAUAUGACCACAGUCAUACCACUCACCAGGAGCACCGGAGUUCAGGAGAGAUUUACGUGUGUAAUAAUCCCUUCGUAGAGAAGAGGGGCACAAAACUGGAGUAUCCCAUUCUCCAGAGGGUGCACGGUUUUUGAAGCCUGAGAGAAUUGGGGGUAUCACUGUUCCUGGCUUUCUGAUGGAAUCAGACAAAAUGAGAUACCUGUCUGGUAAAAGCACACAUGUGUGCGAGUGCUUUGCACAGUUUUAGAAGAAAAAAAACAACAACCCUGAAAAAUAGUGCUUAUAGAAAAAUGUAAAGAUCAAAGAAAUGUUCAGAUGUUCUGCGUUUUCUUCCAAGUGUAAGCUGUCUGAGCAUAAAAGACUUCCCUGGUCUCUGCAAGGAGGAAAUAAAAAGUUCUGUAUAUAUACAUAUAUAUAAAGGAUUUCCUACUUUAUACACCUCUUUUUAGGCUGCUCCUAGAUUUUGAAUGUGAUAUAUUUACAGGUCUUCCCUGUAGUAGGCAAUAUAUAUGUUGAGACAACAGGACCCCAAAGUUAGUCCUUUUUUAAUUUUUUUGGCCACACCUGUAAGAAGUUCCCAGGCGAGGGAUCAAACCUGAGCCACAGCAAUGAUAACACCAAGUCCUUAACCAUUAGGCCACCAGGGAACUCCUUAACAUCCUUUUAAAAAUCACUAAUUUAUUUAUUUAUUGGCCACACUCGAGGCAUGUGGAAGUUUGGAGGCCAGGGAUCAAACCCAGGACAUAGCAGCGUCAGUGAGGGACAACUCCACCCCUGUCCUUCCUGAACAAAAUCAAACAUAACUGUAUAGACGAAUCUGUAUGUUUUUCACAACAGACUUUUCUGUCAGUCUCUGCUGUGACAGCACAUAGAAAGGGAACAGUGGGAGAGGGGGAAUGGCUAAACUUUAGAAAGCUGGAAUUCCAGGGCAAGGAAUUUAGAUUUUAGGCAAGGGCUUACAAAUUUAAAAAAAAAUCUUUUUAGGGCUGCACCUGCGGCAUAUGGAAGUUCUCAAGCUAGGGGUCGAAUCAGAGCUACAGCUGCCAGCCUAUGCCACAGCCACAGCAACAUGGGAUCUAAGCCACAUCUUCCACCUACACCACAGCUCAUGGCAACGCCGGAUUCUUAACCCACUGCGUGAGGCGAGGAAUUGAAUCUGCAUCUUCAUGGAUACUAGUUGGGUUUGUUACUGCUGAGCCACAAUGGGGAACUCAGAAUUUAUAUUGCAUGACGGGAACUCCCAAUUUAUAUUGCUUUGAAUGGCUUUUAGUUAUUUGAGAUGGCUUCGGAAACAACACAUUUUUACUUAUAUUUCCAGAUCUGUAGUUUCAUCUAGUACUUGGGGGAUCUGCUGCUAAUAUGGGACAUUAAAAGGGAUUUACUGUGUGUCAGCUUUACAGCUUUUCCAUAGUUUUUUAGACAUUUAUAUUAAUCUGUUCAGUAAACAAAGAGUUUGUAUAUGAGCCAGGCAUAUGCUUUGCAGCAAGGACUAUACCAUAGUGAACUCCUUAAGGGCAGGGGCCAGGUUUAACUUUUUUAUUUCCCCAUCUUUGCACAAUGUCUUUCCUUUCAGGUGUUCAAUGGAUAUUUGUUGUACGCAGUUCAUAUCCUGCCUCUUUCAUACCAUUCACAUGAGCUGUGCUUAAGCAAAGGCCUUUAAAAAAAAACCAGGAGUUCCCGUCGUGGCACAGUGGUUAACGAAUCCGACUAGGAACCAUGAGGCUGCAGGUUCGGUCCCUGCGCUUGCUCAGUGGGUUAACAAUCCGGCGUUGCCGUGAGCUGCAGUGUAGGUCGCAGACACGGCUCGGAUCUGGGCUCUGGUGUAGGCCGGUGGCUACAGCUCCGAUUCGACGCCUAGCUGGGAACCUCCAUAUGCCGAGGGAGUGGCCCAAGAAAUAGCAAAAAG